UCUAUGCUACUGAUCUAUGCUCACAGAUGGUGAUGGUGUGGAGAGACGGUGGUGUUUCCUCAGAAGAACUAGCAGAGUCACCAAGGACACGAGUCCAUCUCACCACCUUGACUUACUGACUGAUGCUCGUCUGCACUGCACAGAGGAAAUCAACUGACCGAGCAGGAAUGGAGAAAUGGAAUCAAAGGGAGAAGUUUUUGAUGUUUUUGUAAUGAUGUAGGUAAAUCUCCAGUUUCUGAGUGAGGGAGAGAGGAGUCAUCAUCCAGGUAAAGUGACGUGGAUCAGUGGAUACACUUGUCUCCCCUUUAAAGGAGACACUCUUAGAGAGAGACGAUCCGAGUCAUCCUUAAAUAUGGGCAGGAUAUCACUAUUAGACUGUCUAACCUGCCGGAGCAGCACUGAAUGAUCACCACACAUGAGCAUGUUCCUGCAACAUUCAGCAUCUGAUCUGCCAUCUGUGUGCUUCUGCUUUUGUGUCAAAUGUCAAACAGCUGGAGAGGAAACUACACCAGUGUACUGGGAUGUUUCAUCAACACGUGCCAGACGCUGUUCCUUCAUGGUGACAUCACCAGAGACAGCCCCGCCCACCUCAGGACCUCGCCAUUGAUCAUGAUGAUUAUAAUGAUGACAGCGAGCGGAACUAAGACUGUAAAAAUCCACGACCAGAAUGUUUAGAUGCUUUCUAAUUAUUAAUGAAUACUGAGAGCCUCUUUCUGUGUUUUGUCUGUUUUGUUUUGUUUUUUACCUCAUUUGUUACUAACAAAGUUCACCAAACUCACACAGUUUACAUUCUAUAUGUUUCCAUCUUUACCAGCCACACUCUACCCGCAAUUAAGCAAAUAAUCCUUAGAAAUCAUCGUUUUUCUCUUUUGUAAUUGAUGAUAAUUCAGUGAAUAUACUGCGCUGCUUCCUUUUAUUGCGUCACACAUUGCUUUAAGUUUUUCAGUGUCCAGUUAUUUUUUUACUGCUGUUUGAAUUCUCUGCAUGUUUGACCCUGUAGACUGUUUAAUGGACUGCUUGUCUUGUAACCGCUGCCUGUUUUUGACUAAAGAUUUGGAUUUCUGACUUUAACACAG